UACGGAGAGUGCAAGCAUUGAUCGGAAUUACUGGGCGUAAAGGGCGCGUAGGCGGAUUGGUAAGUCAGAUGUGAAAUUCCGCGGCUCAACUGCGGAGCUGCAUUUGAAACUGCCAAUCUAGAGCAUAGUUAGGGAAAACGGAAUUCCACGUGUAGCGGUGAAAUGCGUAGAUAUGUGGAAGAACACCAGUGGUGAAGACGGUUUUCUGGGCUAUAGCUGACGCUGAGGCGCGAAAGCUAGGGGAG
rnacentral:rRNA from 1 species